rnacentral:rRNA from 1 species
CCUACGGGUGGCAGCAGUGGGGAAUAUUGGACAAUGGGGGCAACCCUGAUCCAGCCAUGCCGCGUGUGUGAAGAAGGCCCUCGGGUUGUAAAGCACUUUCAGUGAGGAAGAACGCCUGGUGGUUAAUACCCAUCAGGAAAGACAUCACUCACAGAAGAAGCACCGGCUAACUCCGUGCCAGCAGCCGCGGUAAUACGGAGGGUGCGAGCGUUAAUCGGAAUUACUGGGCGUAAAGCGCGCGUAGGUGGCUUGAUAAGCCGGUUGUGAAAGCCCCGGGCUCAACCUGGGAACGGCAUCCGGAACUGUCAAGCUAGAGUGCAGGAGAGGAAGGUAGAAUUCCCGGUGUAGCGGUGAAAUGCGUAGAGAUCGGGAGGAAUACCAGUGGCGAAGGCGGCCUUCUGGACUGACACAGACACUGAGGUGCGAAAGCGUGGGUAGCAAACAGGAUUAGAUACCCUAGUAGUC